AGGGCUAGCUAGUUAGCAUGCUAACAUUAAUUGUAAGUUGGUUCCAAUUUAUAGUUUUUGCUUCUACAUUUUUUAAUAGGUGGAUCAAACCCAAAUGAUCCCACAUAUUACACCAUCCCCGACCAUCAACCGAUGGAAAAUACGACCGACACAUCUGGACCUGACGAGUCCCCGUACUCUGAGAUCUGCGAGCCUUUCACCGGUGGAAAUAAUAAAGAAGGUAACUUUAAGCUUCAGCUCCUCUGUGAACUCCGUAAAUACACAGGUUUAUAACAUGCAGUGUUUCCCCCAGUAUUUUCUGAGACUGUGGCGCCAGU
rnacentral:lncRNA from 1 species